ensembl:lncRNA
UAUCUUUUAAAUUUUUUAUUUAUUUUUUCACCCAAUUGUACAAAUUAGUCUCUGUUUGGCCUUAGUGUCCCAAAAAUCAUAUUUAUACACAACUAAAUACAACUCGCGAAUAUGUUUUAAAUGGAUGUUUCCUCACUUGAUGAUGAAUCAUCCAUUUACAUAUUUGCUGAGUGCUAAAACUGAUGCCACUGAACUUAUAAGCGGUUAUUUUAACAAAGCCCCCAAAUCCCCUAUGAGCAAGCACUUGGCGACAGUGGGGAGGAAAAACUCCCUUUUAACAGGAAGAAACCUCCGACAGAACCAGGCUCAGAAAGGGGUGGCCAUCUGUCGCGACCGAGUGGGGUUCGAAUGUUCACAUGAAAAUUUAGUUGUAUAUAAAUAUGAUGUUGAGGCCAAAAUACUAAAAGGUUCAUAGCUCUCACAACUCCUCUGCAAAGGGAUUCCCUAAGAGAGAGAAAAAGUGGUUACCAAGAACUUGAGGACAUUACCUACAUAUAAAAAUAUAAAUAAUUAUAAAUUUGUUUUGUUUUUUUUAACAAUGUCAGAAGGAGAGAGGCACUGAGGCACCGUCUUCCGCCCCCCGGCGCACCUGCUGUGCCUCUUCCUUCUGACAGGAACUCCCUACAGAGCAAGUUUGAAUGAUGCCUGAGUGGACAAACACAACUUAUAAGUUCCUGGCUCUCUCAGCUCCUCUGCAGAGGGUUUCCCUAAGAAGGUGGACCUAGCAGGGUCACCGGGGGACGGGGAGCUGUGCCUCACGGCCUUCACUUCGUCGGAGAAACCCUCCCGCAGAGUUGUUCAGAAACUUAUGUGUUGUCCUUGUGAGCCUCCACCAUUUACUGAUGGGUACAGCCUGGACUGUCUAGAGACAGACCAGACCAGCUGCACAACACAGACACUUCAAACCUCACCUGAGGACAAAAAUUACAAGAACAAAAAAAAAAGAAAGAAAACGUAGCUUAGGACCAUGCAGCGUUACAGGAGACAGCAGCACUGCAGAG